rnacentral:rRNA from 1 species
AGGACGAACGCUGGCGGCGUGCUUAACACAUGCAAGUCGAGCGGAAAGGCCCUUCGGGGUACUCGAGCGGCGAACGGGUGAGUAACACGUGAGUAAUCUGCCCCUAGCUCUGGGAUAGCUCCGGGAAACCGGGAUUAAUACCAGAUACGACCACUUUAGACAUCUGUUGUGGUGGAAAGAAUUUUGGCUAGGGAUGAGCUCGCGGCCUAUCAGCUUGUUGGUGAGGUAACGGCUCACCAAGGCGACGACGGGUAGCCGGCCUGAGAGGGCGACCGGCCACGACUGGGACUGAGACACGGCCCAGACUCCUACGGGAGGCAGCAGUGGGGAAUAUUGCGCAAUGGGGCGAAAGCCUGACGCAGCGACGCCGCGUGGGGGAUGAAGGCCUUCGGGUUGUAACCCCUUUCAGCAGGGACGAAGCGAAAGUGACGGUACCUGCAGAAGAAGCGCCGGCUAACUACGUGCCAGCAGCCGC